rnacentral:rRNA from 1 species
CUAUGGCCAUACCACCCUGAACACGCCCAGUCUCCUCUGAUCUUGGAAGCUAAGGAGGGUUGGGCCUGGUUAGUACUUGGAUGGAGAAUGUAGGUAUCUUAUUAGU